rnacentral:rRNA from 1 species
UACGAAGGGGGCUAGCGUUGUUCGGAAUUAUUGGGCGUAAAGGGAGCGUAGGCGGUUCGGCAAGUCUCUAGUGAAAUCUCUGGGCUCAACCCAGAGUCUGCUGGGGAAACUGCCGGGCUUGAGUAUGGGAGAGGUGAGUGGAAUUCCCGGUGUAGCGGUGAAAUGCGUAGAUAUCGGGAGGAAGACCUGUGGCGAAAGCGGGUCACUGGGCCGGUACUGACGGUGAGGAGCGAAAGCGUGGGGAGCGAACAGG